AAGGGCCAGAGGCUACGGCAGCCUCAGGGAGGGGAGGGCAGGCGGCACGUACCGGCCAUUUUUGGCUCGGGUGGGGCUGUUUGGAAUCUGUAACCUGAAGGCA
rnacentral:lncRNA from 1 species